rnacentral:rRNA from 1 species
GUGUUGGAAAGUUUCAUGAACCUUAUCACUUAGAGGAAGGAGAAGUCGUAACAAGGUUUCCGUAGGUGAACCUGCGGAAGGAUCAUUCGCACUGAUCAACUCUUGACACUGUGACUUUUGACGUGAGGGACGCUUGUGGUGAAAUAUCUGCUUGCGGAACUCGUGGGCGACAGCGGCGCAUCGGCGCCUGGUGCAUCUGGCACCGGGCGCGGGUGUUGCCCUGUGGCCGGGUUAGCUCUAGGGUGAGAUAGUUAGCGCAAGCUUUCUGGAAAGGAUGAUGGUCCAAAACUACAACUUUCAGUGAUGGAUAUCUUGGCUCGGGCACCUUUGAAGGGCGCAGCGAAGCGCGAUAGUCUUUGUGAAUUGCAGAAUUCCGUGAACCGAUGGCCUCCUGAACGCGCAUUGCGCUCUCGGGAUUUCCUGAGAGCAGGUCUGCUUCAGUGCUUAGCAUUAUCUACCUGUGCUUGCAAGCAGCAUGUCUACACUGCUGCUUCGCUUUCCAACAAGUCAUCGAUCGCGUUUGUGUUCGUAAAUGGCUUGUUUGCUGCCUGGCCCAUGCGCCAAGCUUGAGCGUACUGUUGUUCCAAGCUUAGCUUGCAUCGUACAGCUCAAGCGCGCAGCUGUUGGGAUGCUGAUGCAUGCCCUUAGCAUGAA